rnacentral:rRNA from 1 species
UACGUAGGGUGCGAGCGUUGUCCGGAAUUAUUGGGCGUAAAGAGCUCGUAGGCGGUCUGUCGCGUCGAAUGUGAAAACCAGGGGCUCAACUCCGGGCUUGCAUUCGAUACGGGCAGGCUAGAGUUCGGUAGGGGAGUCUGGAAUUCCUGGUGUAGCGGUGAAAUGCGCAGAUAUCAGGAGGAACACCGGUGGCGAAGGCGGGACUCUGGGCCGAUACUGACGCUGAGGAGCGAAAGCGUGGGGAGCGAACAGG